GGGCCCCUUCAGUGUGGUGCGCCGCUGUGUCCACAAGACGACGGGCCAGCAGUUCGCGGUCAAAGUCGUCGACGUUGCCAAGUUUACCUCUUGUCCUGGACUCGGCACCGAAGACCUGAAGCGAGAAGCCACAAUCUGCCACAUGCUCAAACAUCCGCACAUUGUUGAACUUUUAGAAACAUACAGCUCGGAGGGAAUGCUCUACAUGGUGUUUGAGUACAUGGAAGGGGCAGACCUGUGCUUUGAAAUUGUGAAAAGAGCCACUGCCGGAUUUGUGUACAGCGAAGCGGUGGCCAGGUAAACUACCGGCAUUUUAUUUUUAUUUUGCGGCGUCGCCGAUGUUGCUUGUGUGUGAACUAUCCCGACGGUGGGAGUUGAACUACAACAAGAGAAGAAACGCAAUCACCUGAGGCUGCUGUUCGCUAAAAUUUAGUAUCGCCAAAGCCAUUCGU
rnacentral:lncRNA from 1 species